rnacentral:rRNA from 1 species
AUUGAACGCUGGCGGCAGGCCUAACACAUGCAAGUCGAGCGGAUGAAGGGAGCGUGCUCCUGGAUUCAGCGGCGGGCGGGUGAGUAAUGCCUAGGAAUCUGCCUGGCAUAGGGGGAUGAGGUCAGUAAAGGGGAGCUAAUACCGCAUACGUCCAGAUGUUGAACGGGGUGGAUCUUCGGACAUCGCGCUAUCAGCUGAGACUAAGACGUGUUAGCUAGUUGGUGGGGUAAAGGCCUACCAAGGCGACGAUCCGUAGCUGGUCUGAGAGGAUGAUCAGUCACACUGGAACUGAGACACGGUCCAGACUCCUACGGGAGGCAGCAGUAGGGAAUCUUGCACAAUGGGCGAAAGCCUGACGCAGCCAUGCCGCGUGAGUGAUGAAGGUCUUCGGAUCGUAAAGUUCUUUAAGUUGGGAGGAAGGACUGUAAGUUUAUACCUGCCUGUUUUGACGUUACCUACACAAUAAGCCCCGGCUAACUUCGUG